UAAUGCUACUGUCCUUUCACCUAGAUACGGGCACAGGUACCUCAGGCAGCUUUACGAACCUCUCCAAAUAUUAAGGGAGAUCUUCUCUUGCCCAGAAUUUUUGUAUAAUAGUACCAUUAGGACCUCGGUGCAAUAUAAAUAUAACAUAACUAGAGGUGUCUGAUUUAGCAGUCAGACAAUUUUAUACUCUGUAAAUACUACGGAGAAAGAAUAUUGGGAUGAAUGACCGGAUUCUGGACUACUGAAAGGGCUGGUACGUGGACCUGCCUGCAGACUAAGCCGCUGCUCUCAGAAGGUUCCCUGGAGCUGUCAGGUGCCUCAGCCAAAACCUCUUGAUUUGCAUCUCUGUAUUCUGUAUUUCUGUUGUGCAUAUGUUGAAAAGUUCCCUAAGGCCAAUACAAGACGCAUGCUAUGUGACACAUCUUUUUUAAGGAUUUUAUCUCUCUGUCCUCUUACCGAUGGCUUCUAUGCUUUUUAAAGUACCGAUGUUUUAUGUGUCAGAACACGUUUUUAUUUCCCCUCCAUACUUCCUGGGAGGAAAGGAAACCUACCUCUACACAAGGAACCUGUCUGCUGCUUUCCUGUUCAAACUAAGUGACGAGUGAAGCUGUCAAAAUCUGCAAUAUUUUGUUUGGUAAAAACACUUUGAGUCCAGGACACACAACCCUGGAGAUCUGAGUGCAACUUUUGGUAUGCGCUGGAAAAACAUACAGGAAUUCUCUACUCUGCUUCACUAACAGUGUGGAGGGAUUGUUUCAGGAACAAGUUCCUUACUUGUUUACUUCUAUGAUACUUUUUAUUGGUUUCCUUAUUAGUGUCAUUAAUAGCUUGAGCAGUUCUUCGUCCAAAAAAGUGUGUAGAAAUGUGCAGCAAUCUUAUGCCUGCAAAUGCUGAUGCAAAGAUUCUCAAUGUCCUCCCUUUUUCAUGGAAAGAUAAAAAUUCAAAAAUUUUGAAAGACUUCAACUAAUAGGAUGAAGACAGCAGUUAAUGACAUCACUCAGGUCUGCGCUGCCCCUUCAGAACACUAUCACUUUGCUUUUUUUUUUUGUUCCUUAAAGGGAUAUUACCUUUAUAUGAAAUGUUUAGAACAAUGCAAAUCACUGAGAACCUCCAAAUAAAACCAUCAAAGCCAAGUUCAUGGUUCUUGUUUGAAAAUAGAUGAGAUGUGAUUCUGGUAAAGUUAUACUUCGAAUUUGUUUAAACCCAACUCUCCAAGCAAAUAUUAUAGGGCCACAAUUUAUAAAGGGCCAAACCUUUACAUAUCUCUUUACAUAUCUCUUUACAUGUCUUCAUAAUGAUAUUGUCUAAAUGCCAACAACUACAGCAGUUGAAUAUCUUUAAUGAGAGAUAGUUACGGCUGUCGUGUUUUGUGUCCCCAGUUGUGAAAGUACUUUGAGGUGGAUAUCUGAGGCUGCUGAAGGAGUAGCUUUCAGUGUAGUUUUGAUGCUAUAUGUCUAAAUUAUAGGCUUUAACAAAUUUUUGGACUGCUAA